rnacentral:rRNA from 1 species
CCUACGGGUGGCAGCAGUGGGGAAUAUUGCACAAUGGGCGAAAGCCUGAUCCAGCGACGCCGCGUGAAGGAAGGAGUAUUUCGGUAUGUAAACUUCUAUUAGCAGGGAAGAAAAUGACGGUGCCUGACUAAGACGCCCCGACUAACUAGGUGCCAGCAGCCGCGGUAAACCGUAGGGGGCGAGCCUUAUCCGGAUUUACUGGGGGUAAAGGGAGCGUUGGGGGUUGAGAAAGUCAUAAGUGAAAGCCCGGGGCCAAACUGCGGGACUGCUUUUGAAACUGUUGAACUAGAUUGCAGGAGAGGUAAGUGGAAUUCCUAGUGUAGCGGUGAAAUGCGUAGAUAUUAGGAGGAACACCAGUGGCGAAGGCGGCUUACUGGACCGUAAAUGACGCUGAGGCUCGAAAGCGUGGGGAGCAAACAGGAUUAGAUACCCUAGUAGUC